UAAGUCAAUUCAAUUACCUCCAAUUUAUUUAAAUUCUAGCCUUAUUUCAAUUUUAAAACAAUUUUCUAUCCCUUUCUCAAUUUUAAUCACAACCAUUUAUCUCAUCCGAUCAAUGGCUGAGAUCGAAUCCACCAUUUAUCACCCUCUUAAACAAAACCAACCCUAAACCCUAAUUGUAAAAGAGCCGCAGCUCCCCCCUCUCUCUACCUCUACAUUUCUCUUAUUAUCACCAGCAUCAAUGGCUGUCGUCGGCAGUCCCAGCGUCGGUGAAGCCCCUCAUCUCUCUCUACAAACCUCUCUCUCUCGUCUCCCUCUUUAAAGAUCAGCCACCGCCGGCAUGCGAACCAGCGCCGCCACAAAAUAGCAAAAACAGCCAUGAUAAGUCCCUGCAUUGCUCUCCUACACCGGUAAAACAACCGUUUCAGCCACGCCGCCAUCCAAUUCGGCCCCACCGACGAACAACCAGUGGCUACCCACACCACUAUAUGACCAGUCACCAUCAGAACCUGCCUCCACCAGCCGCGAUUCAGCCUCUCCUCUCGUCACCGAUCACGUUCUUGUUGAAAUUGAGGACCGGUACUUGAAAUGUGAACUUGAAAUGUGACUUUUGUUUUGAAUAUGAAGAUUAUGAAAUGGACUGUUGACUUCAAACCUGAGGUGAGACCUCCAUCGUUCCAGUGUGGAUCUUGAUACACCAACUGUCGUGGCAACUUUUUAAAUGGCAAAUCUUGUCAAAAUUAGUCUAAGAAAUAGAAGUGGUUGUGGCUCCUGACCAGGCUACUUUCUCAAAAACUAGGGGAAACGUGGCCAAGGUUAAAGUGGAGAUUGAUCUCCUAAAAUCGAGAUUAGAUCAAUUAUUGUUUGUUUUCAAUAGAAUGGAUGGGUCCGAGGAUGAAAAAUGGCUGAAUGUUGAAUAUGAAAAAGUCCCUGGUUACUAUCUUUAUUGUAA